rfam:Triticum aestivum genome assembly, contig: Triticum_aestivum_CS42_TGACv1_scaffold_579472_7BL
AUACCUUUCUCGGCCUUUUGGCUAAGAUCAAGUGUAGUAUCUGUUCUUAUCAGUUUAAUAUCUGAUAUGUGGGCCAUGCGCCCACAACGAUAUUAAAUUUAUUUUUUAUGGGGGAUGGUCCACCACACUAGCUUGCUAGUGGGGCCCUCGUGUGCCGCCUGGGCGUUGCACUAUUGCUCAGGCCAGGCGCACCCCAA